rnacentral:rRNA from 1 species
UACAGAGGGGGGCAAGCGUUGUUCGGAAUUACUGGGCGUAAAGGGCGCGUAGGCGGCCUUCUAAGUCGAACGUGAAAUCCCCGGGCUCAACCCGGGAACUGCGUCCGAUACGGGAAGGCUUGAAUCCGGGAGAGGGAUGCAGAAUUCCAGGUGUAGCGGUGAAAUGCGCAGAUAUCAGGAGGAACACCAAUGGCGAAGGCAGCUCGCUGGGACGGUACUGACGCUGAGGCGCGAAAGCGUGGGGAGCGAACAGG